rnacentral:rRNA from 1 species
AUUGAACGCUGGCGGCAGGCCUAACACAUGCAAGUCGAGCGAGCGGCGGACGGGUGAGUAAUGUAUGGGGAUCUGCCCGAUAGAGGGGGAUAAGCCUGGGAAACUGGGUCUAAUACCGGAUAGUGUGGGAUGGGCCCGCUGCCUAUCAGCUUGUUGGUGGGGUAAUGGCCUACCACGGCGGCGACGGGUAGCCGGCCUGAGAGGGUGGACGGCCACAUUGGGACUGAGACACGGCCCAGACUCCUACGGGAGGCAGCAGUGGGGAAUAUUGCACAAUGGGCGCAAGCCUGAUGCAGCCAUGCCGCGUGUAUGAAGAAGGCCUUAGGGUUGUAAAGUACUUUCAGCGGGGAGGCGUUACCCGCAGAAGAAGCACCGGCUAACUCCGUGCCAGCAGCCGCGGUAAUUC